UACAGAGGUCCCAAGCGUUGUUCGGAUUCAUUGGGCGUAAAGGGUGCGUAGGCGGCGCGGUAAGUCGGGUGUGAAAUCUCGGAGCUUAACUCCGAAACUGCAUUCGAUACUGCCGUGCUUGAGGACUGGAGAGGAGACUGGAAUUUACGGUGUAGCGGUGAAAUGCGUAGAUAUCAUUUGGAACGCCAAUGGUGAAAACAGGUAGCUGGGGAUGUGCUGACGCUGAGACACGAAAGCCAGGGGAGCAAACGGG
rnacentral:rRNA from 1 species